rnacentral:rRNA from 1 species
UACGUAGGUGACCAGCGUUGUCCGGAUUUACUGGGCGUAAAGAGCGCGCAGGCGGUCGUUCAAGUCGAGUGUGAAAGCCCCCGGCUCAACUGGGGAGGGUCACUCGAUACUGAUCGACUUGAAGGCAGGAGAGGGAAGCGGAAUUCCCGGUGUAGUGGUGAAAUGCGUAGAGAUCGGCAGGAACACCCAGGGGGAAACCAGCCGACUGGGCAUCUACUGACGCUGAGGUGCGAGAGCGUGGGGAGCGAACCGG